rnacentral:rRNA from 1 species
AGAACGAACGCUGGCGGCAUGCCUAAUACAUGCAAGUCGAACGAACACUUCGGUGUUAGUGGCGCACGGGUGCGUAACGCGUGGGAAUCUGCCCUUGGGUUCGGAACAACAGUUGGAAACGACUGCUAAUACCGGAUGAUAUCGAAAGAUCAAAGAUUUAUCGCCCAGGGAUGAGCCCG